rnacentral:lncRNA from 1 species
CCACAGCCAUGCAUAAUUUAUGUGCAGUUUGAACAUCCUGUGAAAAUGGGCCAAAGAUGUUUUUUUAUAAAUUGGGCUCUCUGAAUUCUAGAUGAUCUUUAGCAUUCAUUAUAGCUCAAGAAGCUCGGGCAAUAUCGCAGAUGUGCAGCUCUGUGUAUUUUCUGACUCAGUUUCCUCUCAGCCAGCCAAUUUAAACACUGAACCAUUUCCUCUGCCAGCGUCACCGGAGUCCAAUGUUGCAUUACACUACAGCACUUCAUCGCUGCACUGUGGUCUGUCAGAGGAAGAAGGGCGCAUUGUCCGGGAGCUGUAGGAUUCCCAUUGCAGUUACACCUCCUGGAAGGAAACCAGGAGAAAUGCCUUGCAAGCCGAACCUCAGCACAGGAAGUCCCUGGUGGCUUUAUCCUAUUGAAGACCUGAAUGCUAUCAAUCCCUCUCAGCCACUUGCCGACACAAGAGCAGCAGAGCAGGCUAGACUUCAAAUGACCACAUCAUCUGCAGAGGCCCUAAAGGGUUAAUAGUGACUUACAGUAGUAUUCCUUGAGACAAAACAAGGCAUUUGGAUUUUUUUUUUUUUUUGCUAAAAAGUUGAGAAAAAUCUUUUGAUAAGAAACUCCACGUGAAACAC